rnacentral:rRNA from 1 species
UACGUAGGGGGCGAGCGUUGUCCGGAUUCAUUGGGCGUAAAGAGCUCGUAGGCGGUUCAGUAAGUCGGGUGUGAAAUCUCCGUGCUCAACACGGAGCGGCCACCUGAUACUGCUGUGACUCGAGUCCGGUAGGGGAGUGUGGAAUUCCCGGUGUAGCGGUGAAAUGCGUAGAGAUCGGAAAGAACACCAACGCGAAGCACUCUGCGUGGGACCGACACUGACACUGAGAGACGAAAGCUAGGGGAGCGAAUGGG